UCCAGACUCCUACGGGAGGCAGCAGUAGGGAAUAUUGCUCAAUGGGGGAAACCCUGAAGCAGCAACGCCGCGUGGAGGAUGAAGGUUUUCGGAUUGUAAACUCCUUUUGUUAGAGAAGAUAAUGACGGUAUCUAACGAAUAAGCACCGGCUAACUACGUGCCAGCAGCCGCGGUAAUACGUAGGGGGCAAGCGUUAUCCGGAUUUACUGGGUGUAAAGGGAGCGUAGACGGCUGUGCAAGUCUGGAGUGAAAGGCAUGGGCUCAACCUGUGGACUGCUUUGGAAACUGUGCAGCUUGAGUGUCGGAGAGGCAAGUGGAAUUCCUAGUGUAGCGGUGAAAUGCGUAGAUAUUAGGAGGAACACCAGUGGCGAAGGCGGCUUGCUGGACGAUGACUGACGUUGAGGCUCGAAAGCGUGGGGAGCAAACAGGAUUAGAUACCCUGGUAA
rnacentral:rRNA from 1 species